UGACUUUGGCCAAUCCCUUUCCUCUUUGGCACAGGUGCCAAAAUUUUCACAACUCUGUGCAAUAUUUCGGCUCGUUAUCAAAACUUUCUUUCAUAAAUGCCAACAAAGCAGUGCGGAAAUGUAGGUCACGUUGAAACCAGAGACAUCCCAUGACAACACAAUCCUGCGAGUGAGAGGUUCCAGGCAGAUAUAAAAGCUUAAAAAGAAAAAAAGGGGCCACUGACUUCCAAAUGUUGCGUCAAUUUGGGUAGAAGAGGGAGGAGCUUGACUCUUACAGACAGGUGCAGAGCCACACUCACCAUACCAUAAUCUUCAAAACCUGCAGCAUAAACAUAAAAAGGUGUUUAACACUGGGUUGUACUGGACCCAUAAAACAACUUCCAUACCUCCUGCAUAAUGGUGUCUUUGCUUCAGUGUUGGAUGGUGACGGUCUUCACCUCAGUGAAGAAGUGAUAGGAGUCCCUCCCUCCUUCCCUGCCGACGCCAGAGUUCUUCAUCCCCCCAAAUGGCAGGUUGAGAUCUCUCACCAGCCAGCAGUUGGUCCACACCAGGCCUGUCUGAAGCCUCCUGGCCACCCGAUGAACCUUCCCCACGUCCCGGGACCACACCGUGGCUGCCAGCCCGUAGCGCACCCCGUUAGCCUUGGCGACCGCCUCGUCCUCGCCGUCGAAGGGGCUGACGCAGGUGACGGGGCCAAAGAUCUCGUCCUGCAUGACGCGGGAGCUGUCAGCCACGCCCGAGAUGACGGUGGCGGCCAUGAAGUAGCCGUUGAUGUUGCGCUUCGGGAGGUCCGGGUGGUUAAUGCCUUCGCCGCAGUGCACAGUGGCGCCCUCAGAUUUGGCCAGAGCGACAAAGCUACGGACCUAAAAGAUGAGGAAGAAUUAGUAAACACAGAAAACAAAUACAUUGUUUUUUUAUAGAUGCUUUUAAACCUUCUCCAGGUGCUCUUUGCUGAUGAGAGCACCAUUUUUGUUGCAAGGGUCAGAGGGCACGCCCGUCUUCCACUUCCUGGCGGCUGCCACAAACUUCUCCAAGAACGUGGCGUAGAUGCUCCUCUCGACAUAAAUUCUGCUGGUGCACAGGCAGAUUUCUCCCUGGUGAGACAUUUGAACAGAAGAGGGGUGCAUGGCCAUGUUGUUUACUGCAGCAUUGGCAAGUGGACAAAAAACAUGAUCCAAAAUGGAUUUUUGCUACCUUAACUCAGUGGUUCGCAAACUUUUUUUCAGUGAUGUACCCCCUGUGAACAUUUUUUAAGUUCAAAUACCCCCUAAUCAGUGCAAAGCAUUUUUGGUUGAAAAAAAGAGAUAAAGAAAUAAAAUACAGCACUAUGUCAUCAAUUUCUGAUUUAUUAAAUUGUAUAACAGUGCAAAAUAUUGCUCAUUUGUAGUGGUCUUUCUUGAACUAUUUGGAAAAAAAGAUAUAAAAAUAAUUAAAAACUUGUUGAAAAAUAAACAAGUGAUUCAAUUAUAAAUAAAGAUUUCUACCCAUAGAAGUAAUCAUCAACUUAAAGUGCCCUCUUUGGGGAUUGUAAUAGAGAUCCAUCUGGAUUCAUCAACUUAAUUCUAAACAUUUCUUCACAAAAAAAGAAAUCUUUAACAUCAAUAUUUAUGGAACAUGUCCACAAAAACUCUAGCGGUCAACAAUGGAUAUUGCAUUGUUGCAUUUCUUUUCACAGUUUUUUGUAUUCAUAUUUUGUUGAAGUAUUAUUCAAUAAAUAUAUUUAAGGAUUUUUAAUGGUUGCUAUUUUGAGAAUAUUUUAAAAAAAUCUCACGUACCCAUUGGCAUACUUUCGAGUACCUCCAAGGGUACGCGU